GCAGUGAGGAAUAUUGGUCAAUGGACGGAAGUCUGAACCAGCCAUGCCGCGUGAAGGAUGAAGGCGUUCUGCGUUGUAAACUUCUUUUAUUGGGGAAGAAACCUGGAUAUUCUUAUUCAGCCGACGGUACCCAAGGAAUAAGCACCGGCUAACUCCGUGCCAGCAGCCGCGGUAAUACGGAGGGUGCAAGCGUUAUCCGGAUUUACUGGGUUUAAAGGGUGUGUAGGCGGAUUAUUAAGUCAGUGGUGAAAUCCCGAGGCUCAACCUCGGAACUGCCAUUGAUACUAUUAGUCUUGAAUGUUGUGGAGGUGGGCGGAACGGGUCAUGUAGCGGUGAAAUGCAUAGAUAUGACCCGGAACACCGAUUGCGAAGGCAGCCCGCUACGCAACGAUUGACGCUGAGGCACGAAAGCGUGGGGAUCAAACAGGAUUAGA
rnacentral:rRNA from 1 species